rnacentral:rRNA from 1 species
GAAAGUAAUAAAGGGCGUAUGGGGGAUGCCUAGGCUCUUGGAGGCGAAGAAAGACGUGGUAAGCUGCGAUAAGCCUCGGGGAUUUGCAAACGAGAAUUGAUCCGAGGAUUUCUGAAUGGGACAACCCGGCAGGCAGAAGGCCUGUCACACGAAAGUGGGCCAACCCUCUGAACUGAAACAUCUUAGUAGGAGGAGGAAAAGAAAGAAACAUCGAUUUCCUAAGUAGCGGCGAGCGAACGGGAAACAGCCUAAACCACAAUUGUUACGGCAACUGUGGGGUUGUAGGACUGCAAUAUUCAAAUGACUGUGAACUGGAAUGUUCUGGAAAGUUCAUCCAAAGAGAGUGAAAGACUCGUACAGGCAAGCACGUCAAGCGAUAGCAGUAUCCUGAGUAGGGCGGGACACGAGGAAUCCUGUCUGAAUCCGCCGGGACCACCCGGUAAGGCUAAAUACUCCCAAGAGACCGAUAGUGAACCAGUACCGUGAGGGAAAGGUGAAAAGAACCCCGAACAGGGGAGUGAAAUAGAACCUGAAACCAUACGCUUACAACCUGUCGGAGCGGCUUCGUGCCGUGACGGCGUGCCUAUUGAAUAAUGAGCCUACGAGUUACUAAUCACUGGCAAGGUUAAGUGCACGGAUGCACGGAGCCGAAGCGAAAGCGAGUCUGAAUAGGGCGUUUAGUCAGUGGUUGUAGACGCGAAACCUUGCGAUCUACCCUUGAGCAGGUUGAAGGUUGGGUAAAACCAACUGGAGGACCGAACGAAUAAGCGUUGAAAAGCUUCUCGAUGACUUGAGGGUAGGGGUGAAAGGCUAAUCAAGCUGGGAAAUAGCUCGUACUCCCCGAAAUGCCUUUAGGGGCAGCGUUGUAAUUAAGAGUCUACUGGAGGUAGAGCUACUGAUUGGAUGCGGGGGCUUCACCGCCUACCAAAUCCUGACAAACUCCGAAUGCCAGUAGUAUGAUUUACAGCAGUGAGCGACCGGGUGCUAAUGUCCGGUUACGAGAGUGGAACAACACAGACCAGCAACUAAGGUCCCCAAGAGUAUACUAAGUUGAUCUAACGAUGUUUUGCUGCAGAGACAGCUAGGAUGUUAGCUUGGAAGCAGCUAUUCAUUCAAAGAGUGCGUAACAGCUCACUAGUCGAGCGGCAAAGCGUGGAUAAUAAACGGGCAUCAAGUAUACCACCGAAGUUCUGGGCACGAAAGUGCGGUAGGGGAGCAUUCCAUUCCGCGUUGAAGCCGAACCGUGAGGUUUGGUGGAGUGUAUGGAAAAGCAAAUGUAGGCAUGAGUAACGAUAAUGCGGGAGAGUAACCCGCACACCGCAAGACCAAGGUUUCCUGAUCAACGCUAAUCGGAUCAGGGUUAGUCGGGUCCUAAGGGUAAGCCGAACGGUGAUCUCGAUGGAUAAUCGGUUAAUAUUCCGAUACUGACAUAUACCUCGAUGGAGAGACGAAGGAACGUAAGUGCCGCCACCUGACGGAAUAGGUGGUUAAAGGGCUUAGGUAUAGGGACAGAUUAAGAGUUAGUCCUUGCUGAAACCUGACAGUACAGAGAGCCUACGGGCAAUUUGAUAGUGCACCCAAGUCGACUUCCGAGAAAAUCUUCUAAGUUAUAGUAUAUGUCACCCGUACCGUAAACCGACACAGGUGGUCGAGGAGAGUAUCCUAAGGUGCUCGAGUGAAUCACGGUUAAGGAACUAGGCAAAUUAACCCCGUAACUUCGGGAAAAGGGGUCCCAUCGCGAGGUGGGCGCAGCGAAGAGGUCCAGGCGACUGUUUAUCAAAAACACAGGGCUCUGCAAAUUCGAAAGAAGACGUAUAGGGCCUGACACCUGCCCGGUGCUGGAAGGUUAAGAGGGGAUGUCAUCGCAAGAGAAGCAUUGAAUCGAAGCCCCAGUAAACGGCGGCCGUAACAAUAACGGUCCUAAGGUAGCGAAAUUCCUUGUCGGGUAAGUUCCGACCUGCACGAA